AUACGGAGGAUGCGAGCGUUAUCCGGAUUUAUUGGGUUUAAAGGGUGCGUAGGCUGUGCGUUAAGUCAGGGGUGAAAUGCCGUCACUCAACGACGGAGCUGCCCUUGAUACUGGCGUGCUGGAGUACGGAUGCCGUUGGAGGAAUGAGUGGUGUAGCGGUGAAAUGCUUAGAUAUCACUCAGAACACCGAUUGCGAAGGCAUCUGACGAAUCCGUCACUGACGCUGAGGCACGAAAGCGUGGGGAUAGAACAGGAUUAGAUACCCUGGUAUUCCACGCCGUAACCGAUGAUGACUAACCGUCGGCGAUAGACAGCCGGUGGCCAAGCGAAAGCGAUAAGUCAUCCACCUGGGGAGUACGUCGGCAACGAUGAAACUCAAAUGAAUUGACGGGG
rnacentral:rRNA from 1 species